rnacentral:rRNA from 1 species
GAUGAACGCUGGCGGCGUGCCUAAUACAUGCAAGUCGAGCGAACAGACGAGGAGCUUGCUCCUCUGACGUUAGCGGCGGACGGGUGAGUAACACGUGGAUAACCUACCUAUAAGACUGGGAUAACUUCGGGAAACCGGAGCUAAUACCGGAUAAUAUAUUGAACCGCAUGGUUCAAUAGUGAAAGACGGUUUUGCUGUCACUUAUAGAUGGAUCCGCGCCGCAUUAGCUAGUUGGUAAGGUAACGGCUUACCAAGGCCACGAUGCGUAGCCGACCUGAGAGGGUGAUCGGCCACACUGGAACUGAGACACGGUCCAGACUCCUACGGGAGGCAGCAGUAGGGAAUCGUCCGCAAUGGGCGAAAGCUUGACGGAGCAACGCCGCGUGAGUGAUGAAGGUCUUCGGAUCGUAAGACUCUGUUAUUAGGGAAGAACAAAUGUGUAAGUAACUAUGCACGUCUUGACGGUACCUAGUCAGAAAGCCACGGCUAACUACGUG